CGACUUCCGCCCUGAUCCCGGAACUCGACCCCAGAGGAUCCUUGGAGGCCGCGAUGCGGUCCUUCCCCUGUCUCCCCGCCGCGCGUUUGAGUUUUCAGACCCAGGUGUGACAGGAUCCCGAGGCUCCUCCCAUGCCCACAGUCCAUUACUGUAGACUCGGAAGCCCGGGAAGGAAUCCAUUCGGCUCCCCGUCCGUCCUCGCCGGGGCAGGCGGAGGUCUAGAGGUUUUCUCCCUUUGCCAUCCCAACCAUGGCCCAGAAGUCCAGGGUAGACCCGCACGUCGGGCGGCUAGGGUACCUGCAGGCGCUGGUCACGGAAUUCCAGGAGACCCAGAGCCAAGACGCCAAGGAGCAAGUCCUCGCCAACCUGGCCAACUUCGCCUAUGACCCGGGCAACUACCAGUAUCUGCGGCAGCUGCAAGUCCUAGAUUUAUUCCUCGAUUCGCUAUCAGAAGAGAAUGACACCCUAGUGGAGUUUGCUAUUGGAGGCCUCUGCAACCUGUGCCCCGACAGAGCCAACAAGGAGCACAUCGUGCAAGCAGGAGGCAUUCCGCUCAUCAUCAACUGCCUGUCCAGCCCCAACGAGGAGACUGUGUUGUCUGCCGUCACCACGCUCAUGUACCUGGGCUCACCGGGCGCACACUCCCACCCUGAGCUGAACUCCACACCUGUGGUCCAGUGCAUGCUGCGCUUCUCUCUCUCCUCCAACACCAGGCUCCGGAACUUGGCCCAGAUCUUCCUGGAGGACUUCUGUUCACCAAGCCAGGUGGCAGAAGCUCGAAGCCUGCAGGCCCACUCUGCCCUGGGUAUCCCACUGCCAAAGACUGAGGCCCCACAGCAGUCCUGACCUAAGGAAGCCACAGUCCUGGUGUGUCUACAAGAAUCAUAAACUCAGUAUUUCUUAAGUCCAUUAAGAAACUGAAUGUCAGACUGGGUGCGGUGGCGCACGCCUUUAAUCCCACUCGGGAGGCAGAGGUAGGAGGAUGGCCUUGAGUUCGAGGCUAGCCUGAGACUACAUAGUGAAUUCCAGGUCAGCCUGAACUAGAGUGAGACCCUACCUCAAAAAAACAACAAAAAAAUCAGUGCUGAGAGAUGGCUUAGCCGGUAAGUGCUUGCUUGUGAAGCCGAAGGACUCUAGUUCAAGGCUUAAUUCCCCAUGACCCAAGAAAGCCAGAAGCAUGAGAGGGCACAGGCAUCUGCAGUUCGUUUGCAGUGGCUGGAGACCCUGGUGUGCCCAUUCUCCCCCCCCUCUCUCUCAAAUAAAGUAUAUUUUAAAA